AGCGAACGCUGGCGGCAGGCUUAACACAUGCAAGUCGAGCGGGCACUUCGGUGUCAGCGGCAGACGGGUGAGUAACACGUGGGAACGUACCCUUCGGUUCGGAAUAACGCUGGGAAACUAGCGCUAAUACCGGAUACGCCCUUUUGGGGAAAGGUUUACUGCCGAAGGAUCGGCCCGCGUCUGAUUAGCUAGUUGGUGGGGUAAUGGCCUACCAAGGCGACGAUCAGUAGCUGGUCUGAGAGGAUGAUCAGCCACACUGGGACUGAGACACGGCCCAGACUCCUACGGGAGGCAGCAGUGGGGAAUAUUGGACAAUGGGCGCAAGCCUGAUCCAGCCAUGCCGGGUGAGUGAUGAAGGCCUUAGGGUUGUAAAGCUCUUUUGUCCGGGACGAUAAUGACGGUACCGGAAGAAUAAGCCCCGGCUAACUUCGUG
rnacentral:rRNA from 1 species